rnacentral:rRNA from 1 species
ACUCCUACGGGAGGCAGCAGUAAGGAAUAUUGGACAAUGGGCGCAAGCCUGAUCCAGCCAUCCCGCGUGCAGGAAGACAGCCCUAUGGGUUUUAAACUGCUUUAGAAGGGAAGAAACGCCUACAUUUAUGUGGGUUUGACGGUACCUUCAGAAUAAGCACCGGCUAACUCCGUGCCAGCAGCCGCGGUAAUACGGAGGGUGCGAGCGUUAUCCGGAAUUACUGGGUUUAAAGGGUGCGUAGGGCGGGCGAAUUAAGUCAGAGGUGAAAUGCUUUCAGCUUAACUGAGAAAAUUGCCCUUUGGAUACUGAUUGUCUUGAAAUAUGUUGAGGUUAGCAGAAUGUGGGCAUNUAGCGGGUGAAAUGCAUAGAUAUGCCAUAGAAUACCAAUUGCGAAGGCAGCUAACUGGGGCAUUAUUUGGACGCUGAGGCACGAAAGCGUGGGGAGCGAACAGGAUUAGAUACCCUGGUAGCUACG